ensembl:lncRNA
AAGUCAACUAUUAAAAAAACUGCAUGGGAAUAGAAAAAGAGGAGAGAGGGUGACGGAGAGAGGGUGACGAGAGAGGGUGACGGAGAGAGGGUGACGAGAGAGGGUGACGGAGAGAGUGUGACGGAGAGAGGGUGACGGAGAGAGGGUGACGGAGAGAGGGUGACGGAGAGAGGGUGACGGAGAGAGGGUGACGGAGAGAGGGUGACAGAGAGGGUGACGGAGGAGAGAGGGUGACGGAGAGAGGGUGACGGAGAGAGGGUGACGGAGAGAGGAUGACGGAGAGAGGGUGACGGAGAGAGGGUGACGGAGAGAGGAUGACGGAGAGAGGGUGACGGAGAGAGGGUUACGGAGAGAUGGUGACGGAGAGAUGGUGACGGAGAGAGGGUGAUGGAGAGAGGGUGACGGAGAGAGGGUGACAGAGAGGGUGACGGAGAGAGGGUGACGGAGAGAGGGUGACGGAGAGAGUGUGAUGGAGAGAGGGUGACGGGAGAGGGUGACGGAGAGGGUGACAGAGAGAGGGUGAAGGGAGGAGGGAAACAAGGGA